GAUGAACGCUGGCGGCGUGCCUAAUACAUGCAAGUCGAGCGAACAGACGAGGAGCUUGCUCCUUCGACGUUAGCGGCGGACGGGUGAGUAACACGUAGGUAACCUACCUAUAAGACUGGGAUAACUUCGGGAAACCGGAGCUAAUACCGGAUAAUAUUUCGAACCGCAUGGUUCGAUAGUGAAAGAUGGCUUUGCUAUCACUUAUAGAUGGACCUGCGCCGUAUUAGCUAGUUGGUAAGGUAACGGCUUACCAAGGCAACGAUACGUAGCCGACCUGAGAGGGUGAUCGGCCACACUGGUACUGAGACACGGUCCAGACUCCUACGGGAGGCAGCAGUAGGGAAUCUUCCGCAAUGGGCGAAAGCCUGACGGAGCAACGCCGCGUGAGUGAUGAAGGUCUUCGGAUCGUAAAACUCUGUUAUUAGGGAAGAACAAACGUGUAAGUAACUGUGCACGUCUUGACGGUACCUAAUCAGAAAGCCACGGCUAACUACGUG
rnacentral:rRNA from 1 species